AAAAAUAUAAGCUCGAAGAGUGAGCUGUGGAGGACGAAACACAAAAUCUCAGAUUUUGAUACAUUGGAGAAAUAGAUGGCGAAUGCAAGAUAUACUUUUGAUUCAUUAGAUGCAAAUUCCUUGUAUGUUUGAAAGAAGCGACCCUUUUCAGUAAAAAAAAAAAAAACUAAAGAAGAACUUAAUUAAUGUACUGCAUAUGCAUGCUGCUUGUAGUACAAACUACAAAACUCAAUUCCAUUGGAAACGGUAAAGAUACUGGCGGUAAUUUACCAAACGUUUUUUUGGUAGUCUAGCUAGUGGUCUAUUG
rnacentral:lncRNA from 1 species